GGAACGAUUACACCAGACCGCGCGAGACGAAACGACCCCCACGGUCGGCAAGCGGGCCACACACAANCACACACAACGACCCCAGAGGGGUUGGGAAACNANAAACAGAAGAACGACCAAACAGACAAGAAACAGACAANAAACAANCCAAAACGACAAACAAGAAAACCGCACACACAAGACACCACACACACAACAAAACACGAGACAACAAACACACACAACAGCAGAAAGCAAAAAAAACAAAAAAAAAAAAGAAAAAACAACACAACACAACCANCACACCACAAAGAGNACAAAACAAACGCACAAAAGAAAAACAAC
rnacentral:rRNA from 1 species